GAGCUAAUGAGCUUUUAAAUUAUUCCGUCGUGGAACGAAGAAGGGGCGUCUACAGAGGGCCAAAAUUGUAAAAGAGGAAAAGUUGCGUAACAACUUCAGUAAAGACACAGUCACCGAAUACAAAGGAUAACCCCGAAUACCGGUAGAAACGAGAAAAGAACCACAACGUGAAACCAGUGAGAGUGAAAGGCAAGAGA